GAUGAGCGCUGGCGGCGUGCCUAAUACAUGCAAGUCGAGCGAAUGGAUUAAGAGCUUGCUCUUAUGAAGUUAGCGGCGGACGGGUGAGUAACACGUGGGUAACCUGCCCAUAAGACUGGGAUAACUCCGGGAAACCGGGGCUAAUACCGGAUAACAUUUUGAACCGCAUGGUUCGAAAUUGAAAGGCGGCUUCGGCUGUCACUUAUGGAUGGACCCGCGUCGCAUUAGCUAGUUGGUGAGGUAACGGCGCACCAAGGCAACGAUGCGUAGCCGACCUGAGAGGGUGAUCGGCCACACUGGGACUGAGACACGGCCCAGACUCCUACGGGAGGCAGCAGUAGGGAAUCUUCCGCAAUGUACGAAAGUCUGACGGAGCAACGCCGCGUGAGUGAUGAAGGCUUUCGGGUCGUAAAACUCUGUUGUUAGGGAAGAACAAGUGCUAGUUGAAUAAGCUGGCACCUUGACGGUACCUAACCAGAAAGCCACGGCUAACUACGUGCCAGCCGCCGCGGUAA
rnacentral:rRNA from 1 species